rnacentral:misc_RNA from 1 species
GAUGAAGAACGCAGCGAAAUGCGAUAAGUAAUGUGAAUUGCAGAAUUCAGUGAAUCAUCGAAUCUUUGAACGCACAUUGCGCCCGCCAGCAUUCUGGCGGGCAUGUCUGUUCGAGCGUCAUUUCAACCCUCAAGCUCUGCCUGGUGUUGGGGCCCUACGUCUGACGUAGGCCCUCAAAGACAGUGGCGGACCCUCUCGGAGCCUCCUUUGCGUAGUAACUAACGUCUCGCACUGGGAUUCGGAGGGACUCUUGCCGUAAAACCCCCAAUUUUUACAGGUUGACCUCGGAUCAGGUAGGAAUACCCGCUGAACUUAAGCAUAUCAAUAAGCGGAGGA